GAUGAACGCUAGCUGCAGGCUUAACACAUGCAAGUCGCGGGACCGGCGCACGGGUGAGUCACGCGUAUCCAACCCGCCCUUCACCACGGGAUAACCCGGCGAAAGUCGGACUAAUACCGUAUGGUGAAGGAUGGGGAGGCGUGCGAUUGGCUGGAGGGAGGGGUAACGGCCCACCGGGGCUACGAUCGGUAGGGGUUCUGAGAGGAAGGUCCCCCACACUGGGACUGAGACACGGCCCAGACUCCUACGGGAGGCAGCAGUGGGGAAUUUUGGACAAUGGGCGCAAGCCUGAUCCAGCCAUGCCGCGUGUCUGAAGAAGGCUUCGGGUUGUAAAGGACUUUUGUCAGGGAAGCGGUACCUGAAGAAUAAGCACCGGCUAACUACGUGCCAGCAGCCGCGGUAAUAC
rnacentral:rRNA from 1 species